UGGGGAAUUUUGGACAAUGGGGGAAACCCUGAUCCAGCCAUCCCGCGUGUGCGAUGAAGGCCUUCGGGUUGUAAAGCACUUUUGGCAGGAAAGAAACGUCGCGGGUUAAUACCCCGCGAAACUGACGGUACCUGCAGAAUAAGCACCGGCUAACUACGUGCCAGCAGCCGCGGUAAUACGUAGGGUGCAAGCGUUAAUCGGAAUUACUGGGCGUAAAGCGUGCGCAGGCGGUUCGGAAAGAAAGAUGUGAAAUCCCAGAGCUUAACUUUGGAACUGCAUUUUUAACUACCGGGCUAGAGUGUGUCAGAGGGAGGUGGAAUUCCGCGUGUAGCAGUGAAAUGCGUAGAUAUGCGGAGGAACACCGAUGGCGAAGGCAGCCUCCUGGGAUAACACUGACGCUCAUGCACGAAAGCGUGGGGAGCAAACAGGAUUAGAUACCCUGGUAGUCCACGCCCUAAACGAUGUCAACUAGCUGUUGGGGCCUUCGGGCCUUGGUAGCGCAGCUAACGCGUGAAGUUGACCGCCUGGGGAGUACGGUCGCAAGAUUAAAACUCAAAUGAAUUGACGGGGGUCAUAGCU
rnacentral:rRNA from 1 species